AAGGUCGCUCCCCUUCCUGUUCGGGUGGCGCUCGUCGUCACCGGCCUACUAGCGGCCACUGAUCCUUUUUCCCCAUUAUUGGUUUCACCUGUUUGUGUUUUAGGCUGAUUAGUCUGGCUUUAUUUACCACUAGGCCCGCCUGCUCUUUGUGCGGGAUUGUUUUGUGUAACUUGUGUGCAAAUCUGUGGGUUACGUGUUUCCCAUUUCGUGGGUUUUGCUGGACAGUUUAAGUCCCCGUGUUUGGGGCAUUUGUUUUGUUGUGCGCCCUGUGUUUUGUGGGGUUGGCUUAUGUUUGCCGUUUUGUGCAUUACAUAUAGCACUACCCUGAACUCUCUGCUUCCUGCGCCUGACUUCUCACUCACUCCACCCAAUUUCGUCAUGGGACUAUGAGAAAAACUGCAGUUUACAAAACAGUUUUUCAGGCAAUUCCACACAUUUUGCCAUGGGACCAAGAGAAAAUUUGGCAGUCAAGAUUCGACCAUGAAGGCCUGAUUCACACAGUCUCCUCUGAACAGUUGAUGUUGAGAUGUGUUUGUUACUUGAACUCUGUGAAGCAUUUAUUUGGGCUGCAAUCUGAGGUGCAGUUAAUUGCCGAUUUCUGAGGCUGGUAACUCUAAUGAACUUAUCCUCUGGGUCUUCCUUUCCUGUGGCGGUCCUCAUGAGAGCCAGUUUCAGCAGAGCGCUUGAUGGUUUUUGCGACUGAACUUGAAGAAACGUGCAAUUUUCCGCAUUGACUGACCUUCAUGUCUUAAAGUAAUGGACUGUCGUUUCUCUUUGCUUAUUUGAGCUGUUCUUGUCAUAAUAUGGACUUGUUCUUUUACCAAAUGGGGCUAUCUUCUGUAUACCCCCCCACCUUUUUACAACACAACUGUUUGGCUCAAUCACAUUAAGAAAAAAAUAAAUUACACAAAUUAACUUUUAACAAGGUACACCUGUUAACUGAGGUGCAUUCCAGGUGACUACCUCAUGAAGCUGGUUGAGAGAAUGCCAGGAGUGUGCAAAGCUGCCAUCAAGGCAAAGGGUGGCUACUUUGUAGAAUCUCACAUGAAAUAUAUUUAUUUUUAACACUUUUGGUUACUACAUGAUUUCAUGCGUUAUUUCAUAGUUUUGAUGUCUUCACUAUUAUUCUACAAUGUAAAAAAAUAGUUCAAAAAACAAAAACCCUGGAAUGAGUAGGUGUGUCCAAACGUUUGCCGGUACUGUCUAAAAGAGGGUUAACCAUGUUAGGAUAUAUUGAUAGCUGAAGUUAGUAUUUAUUGGGCCAUUGUGUAACGAUAAUUUCAUGAGAUAACAAGUUAUAUGUUUUAAUGGAAGUAGUUGAGUUUGUGCCAUGUAUUUAAU